AUAAAUACGUUGAUAGAGAAAAGUAGUACAAAAGCAUUUUCAGAAAGGUAACGGGUGAUGUGAGUUGCCAUUGUGAUGUAUGAAUCCACUCUUGAGUGAAACUAAUACUUUCCGGUUGUCCCGUUAUCGCUAAUGAAGUGGUUAAAUUGUUUCACGUGAAACAAUUUAACAAAAAGGGUGGCACCGCGUUGACAUCGUCCCUUUG
rnacentral:ncRNA from 1 species